GUGUUGAAGGAACUGGAACAUUGGCCCUGUAACUUCGGGAGAAGAGGUGUCUUCUAUACUUUUAU
rnacentral:rRNA from 14 species